CGGCGGCUGGGUAUGGGCCGUGGACCAGGUCGUCGGCUUUCCAACCAGGACGUUUGCUUUUUUAUUCUGGGCCAAGGAUCAGAUAAUGGGUCCGUGUGGCCGGUAGCAAUUUACGCCGCCUGUCGGUCGUGCGGCAUGAAAUGAAAAAAAAAAGGUAGAUUUGUCCUCCACUAUCUCCUGGUUCGUCCUAGAGGGUCCCCUCGCCGCCGCGGUACCCUGGAGCCUGGUCACCGGGAAAAAAGGGAGAGCGUAGCGGGAGGCCGGCCAACCGGGCGGCCAACCGGGUUGCGGCGGCGACCGUGCUCCGACGACGGACUAACCAGUGAUGGAGGGGGAGGGUAUGGAGUUUCUAAUUGACGCUGUUGACAGGUUCCCCGUGCGUGAGGAAUUUGCGGACAGCCUUACAACCCAGAUCCAGUUCCACUACUUUUUCUGCUGGAGAAGGGGAGUGCGACUGAGGAUGUGGGUGAGGUCGAUGGCGUCACUGAGCUGACUCAAAUGGAGGAUGUAGGAGCAGCAGCGGCAACGCAACAAGGUGGCCAUGCUUUACGAGCUGAAUCUCCAACGAGGUCUGCUCAAUCAACAGGCAGAGUGAAUCCACAAGCCCCCGGUUGGACAAAAAGGCUCCGGCUUGGAAGUGCACCACCUGACCGGGUGGCUUGCCCGUCGAGGAUGAGCGCACUAGAAAUUUCAAUCCGCAAGUAUGCAGAGCAACCUGAUAAGAGCGUCGUUAAACCUGAGCUGGGACUUAGUUUUGAUUCGUUGGGCAAGGCAUAUAGUUUGGCAGCGGGAACAAUCUGGGCAUCCCCGUUGCCGUGCUGGACUGCAAAUCCAUGCCCCGCUGGGUGCCAUCCCGCUUGAUGCUGCGCAGCAAGGAUCUGCUCGUGGGUCAUCCUCCUGCAGUACGCGCGCUGGAACUCAAAGAAACGUCACUGAAGGGCCUGCCAAAGGAGAAGAGAAAAUCUCAAUCAUUAGCCAGAAACGAUGACCAGCCUGGUUACUAGUCCUCGCGAAGGCGGUCACGACCUCGUCGCUGCAGAGAGGGCAUGCCAUCAAAGGGAGCAGCCAAUCGGCUGGGACAGGAAGGGAAGAUGAAGACGAUGCGGACAUGGCAGCGCGGACGAGAUUGAACAAUGGCGAUGGCCAAGCAGGGGCGAGCUCGGGAGAGUAAAUGGAGAUGGGUGGUGUGCUGGCUAGAGUGAAUGAGCUGGUUGGGCUGGUGAGCAUUUAUGGAGCUGGCGCUCCGACGCCGUUUGUGCUGUGAAUCUUGCGUCAUACGGCUCAUGCAGGCUCAGAUGUGGUGCCGAGCCGUCGCACCUCCAACGGGGCCGCGACGUGCCGUCUCCAUAAAUGCACCUCUGACACGCGAGCCAGAAAAGAGAUAUACGGCCUGAAAAUACAUGAAGACACACAGAUCUUGGCGCAGACCAUCGGUGUGGAUUUCGGGAGCAGCUGAGCCCGAGCUCAGAAUCGAAUUUUCGCUGAUGAAAGGUCUACAUGUGAGCAGCUUUUGUCACACCCAUUCAUCAAGAGGUAUGAGGAAGCCGGUGUCGACUUGGCGGCAUACGUCGGGGGUGUUGUGAAUCCAACAGAAAGGUUGAAGCAAAUAGCAGAGAUGCUUGUUGUUCAUUAUUACCUUCUGUUCAAUGGCUCUGAUGGAUCCUGGCAUCAUAUGAAGACACCGUACAUGGAAGAAUCAUCUUUCCGCUUCUCAGGGAAUGUGUAUGUCGGGCAAAGUGCCAUAUUUGAUACUUUGUCAACCAUAAGAAACAAGUUUAAAGGUGAUCAGCCUAGUGGGGGGAUUUUUCAUGUUGUUGAGAAGAUACAUUGUGGUGCAGAUGGGGAAAGAGAGAUCACCGUUCGUGUGUCUGGAUCAUUCAUUGUGGGCAACCAAUUUCUAAUACUUGGUGAAGGGCUGCAAGCUGAAGGGAUGCCCAGCCCAGACGAGCUCGCAAUUGACAUUCCAAGCAAUCGGGCAGGCCAGUUCCGGGAGCAGUUCAUCAUGCAGCCAGGGAUUUCCAUGGAAUGCUACUACAUACCAAGACAAGAUCUCUCCAUCAGCUAGUCCCGACAAGAUUUGUAAUUUGUAAGACUUCUUGGGCUAGUUUAGCUUAAACUUAUCUGCUCACAAAAACAACACUGAAAAUUAGUAUUCGAGAAAUUACAAUCAAUUUCUUUGGCUUUGGUCGCCUGAGCUUA